AUUACUAUGGCCAACCUUAUGUUUGAUGACAUAAUGAAAGGCUCCAAAGUAAGCUGCCGAUCGAGCAUGUAUCUUAUUCACAUGUUUUUGAGUUUUAAAAUGGAUCAAAGAUUGAUGAUCUGUGUGAAUAACAAACUCUUGCCUCAUCAAAUACUACUCCCAAGUUUUAAAAGCCCGGUUAGAAGUAGAUCACUUUUUUCUAGC
rnacentral:lncRNA from 1 species